ACGAACGCUGGCGGCGUGCUUAACACAUGCCAGUCGAACGGAAAGGCCCUGCUUUUGUGGGGUGCUCGAGUGGCGAACGGGUGAGUAACACGUGAGUAACCUGCCCUUGACUUUGGGAUAACUUCAGGAAACUGGGGCUAAUACCGGAUAGGAGCUCCUGCUGCAUGGUGGGGGUUGGAAAGUUUCGGCGGUUGGGGAUGGACUCGCGGCUUAUCAGCUUGUUGGUGGGGUAGUGGCUUACCAAGGCUUUGACGGGUAGCCGGCCUGAGAGGGUGACCGGCCACAUUGGGACUGAGAUACGGCCCAGACUCCUACGGGAGGCAGCAGUGGGGAAUAUUGCACAAUGGGCGGAAGCCUGAUGCAGCAACGCCGCGUGCGGAAUGACGGCCUUCGGGUUGUAAACCGCUUUCGCCUGUGACGAAGCGUGAGUGACGGUAAUGGGUAAAGAAGCACCGGCUAACUACGUG
rnacentral:rRNA from 1 species